rnacentral:lncRNA from 1 species
AUGCGGAGGAGCGGACGUGACCAGAAUGGAGGGGGAGGGGCGCGCACGAGGAGGGGGUCGAGGCGCGGGAAGAGCAGACCGGCGGGGACCGAAGAUGGACCGGGGAGGGGAACCAGCGGGGUUGCUUCGAGGAGAGGUCACAAGGAAAGCAUCAGAAGCGGGGGACAAGAGUCUGAAGAUGAAGGGGCGAGAGGACUAGUUUGCAGGAGAGUGCAGAGCGGUGGGGGCAAAGAUGGAAAAACUGGAGGAGGAAUAAAGACCGGGGAGGAGAGAAUGGGAGCAGAACGAGGGGUAGGAAAGGGCCUGCCUGACCCGUCUGGCUUCGGAACAGGAGCGGGGGCUUUGAGGCGCAGAUCCUGGGUGCCAGCCUUCCUUCUCACCCACCCCCGACCCGUCCAAGGUGCCCAGGGUGCUGCGCCGGCCCCCGCCUGGGUUCCGCUGCAGCCAGGCGGACAGACCUUGGAUGGGGACCGAUGCCCAGGCUGUCACUCCGCUCACCUCCGGCGUGCUCCGGAUCGCACUGCGCUGCAAAGACGGAGAGGUCAGGACGCUGGGGACGCGCAGCUCCUGUGCGGGAACCCGGGCCCGGCCUCAAGGUUAUCCCGCUGCGGAGCCGCGCAAUCCCUCCGCAGCCCCGCCUCCCGCCCAAUCCCGGCGCCCGGACUCCGAAGCCCCGCCCCCUGCGCCUUGCGGGGCGCAGGCCCUUCCCAAGCGAGGGCCGCGGAGGCGGGACGGGCAGGUUGCCCUUUUGGGGAGGACUAUAUUUCGUGGCGGAAGGACACACUAAAUCAAAAUCGCAGGGAUGUCAUGCUCCGAUGGCCAAUGGGGAAGUGGCAAGGCGGCAGGACCCGCCCUCCGGAGCACCGGACACCUACCUCCCAGACCCCCGGGCGCCCCGGCCACCUGUUGCUGCCUGACUGGGAUGGCUGGACUGGGGCUCUUGUCUUGGCCUUCUGCCCAGGUUGCCCCAGAUGCCCUGGCCUACCCGGAAUGCGCCCAGAUUUAUAG